UUGACCUCAAAUCAGGUAGGACUACCCGCUGAACUUAAGCAUAUCAAUAAGCGGAGGAAAAGAAACUAACAAGGAUUCCCCUAGUAACUGCGAGUGAAGCGGGAAAAGCUCAAAUUUAAAAUCUGGUGGUCUCUGGCCAUCCGAGUUGUAAUCUAGAGAAGUGUUAUCCGCGCUGGACCGUGUACAAGUCUCCUGGAAUGGAGCGUCAUAGAGGGUGAGAAUCCCGUCUUUGAUACGGACUGCCAGGGCUUUGUGAUGCGCUCUCAAAGAGUCGAGUUGUUUGGGAAUGCAGCUCAAAAUGGGUGGUAAAUUCCAUCUAAAGCUAAAUAUUGGCGAGAGACCGAUAGCGAACAAGUACCGUGAGGGAAAGAUGAAAAGAACUUUGGAAAGAGAGUUAAACAGUACGUGAAAUUGCUGAAAGGGAAACGCUUGAAGUCAGUCGCGUUGUCUGGGGAUCAACCUUACUUUUGUUGGGCGUACUUUCCAGAUGACGGGUCAGCAUCAAUUUUGACCGUUGGAUAAAGUCUAGAGGAAUGUGGCAUCUUCGGAUGUGUUAUAGCCUUUGGUCGCAUACAACGGUUGGGAUUGAGGAACUCAGCA
rnacentral:rRNA from 1 species